rnacentral:lncRNA from 1 species
ACGGCAGCGAGUGCGGUUGAAGUAUCAUAAUCAACAUCGAAGUCUUUUUUAUUAUCGACUUCUUCUACCUCAUCCUCAUCCAUGUCAUAGUCAUCCGGGUCUGCUCCGUCCGCGUCUCCAUCGUCAGCCCAGACCCUGAAGUCAAGUCGUGUAUUUCUGGGUCGGGUAAGGUUAAUAGGCCUCGGAAUGUUGAAUUUUGGGUUGUAGAAAUGGAUUGGAUGUGGAGAGGGUGUGGGAAUUGAGGUGGGGAAUUUUAUUGAAGGUGGCGGAGGUGGUGGAAAGAGGAAGAGAGUGGCAGUGUUCAUGGGGGCGGUUUUGAAGGGUCUUGGGAAUUAUGAGAGGGAAUAACGAAGAGAAGAAGAUUAGAGUUUGGGUUUGGAUAAGGUGGAACAGGAAUACUUGAGAAAAGUUACAACCUACCUCCUCUUCAUUAACCAUAUGUCAUGUCAGCCUCAAAAAUAGUUGACCAUCAUUCUCUUAAAAUUUAGAGGGUGUUUGGCAGAAAUUUU